UGGGGAAUAUUGCGCAAUGGGGGCAACCCUGACGCAGCAACGCCGCGUGAUUGAAGAAGGUCUUCGGAUUGUAAAAAUCUUUUAUCAGGGACGAAGAAGUGACGGUACCUGAUGAAUAAGCUCCGGCUAACUACGUGCCAGCAGCCGCGGUAAUACGUAGGGAGCAAGCGUUAUCCGGAUUUACUGGGUGUAAAGGGCGAGUAGGCGGGUCGGCAAGUUGGGAGUGAAAUGUCGGGGCUUAACCCCGGAACUGCUCUCAAAACUGUAUCCCUUGAGUAUCGGAGAGGCAAGCGGAAUUCCUAGUGUAGCGGUGAAAUGCGUAGAUAUUAGGAGGAACACCAGUGGCGAAGGCGGCUUGCUGGACGACAACUGACGCUGAGGCGCGAAAGCGUGGGGAGCAAACAGGAUUAGAUACCCUGGUAGU
rnacentral:rRNA from 1 species